GACGAACCGUGCGAACGUUGUUCGGAAUCACUGGGCUUAAAGGGCGCGUAGGCGGGUCUCAAGUCAAGGGUGAAAGCCUCCGGCUUAACCGGAGAAGGGCUUUUGAUACUGGAGACCUCGAGGGGUGCAGGGGCAUGUGGAACUUCCGGUGGAGCGGUGAAAUGCGUAGAUAUCGGAAGGAACGCCGGUGGCGAAAGCGACGUGCUGGACACCUUCUGACGCUGAGGCGCGAAAGCCAGGGGAGCAAACGGG
rnacentral:rRNA from 1 species